rnacentral:rRNA from 1 species
GAUGAACGCUAGCGGCAGGCUUAAUACAUGCAAGUCGUGGGGCAGCAGCUCUGUAGCAAUACAGAGGCUGGCGACCGGCAAACGGGUGCGGAACACGUACGCAACUUACCCAUAACUGGUGAAUAGCCCUCCGAAAGGAGGAUUAAUACAUCGUAACAUAAUGAAAGGGCAUCCUUUUAUUAUUAUAGCUCCGGCGGUUAUGGAUGGGCGUGCGGCUGAUUAGGAGUUGGCGGAGUAAUAGCCCACCAAGCCCACGAUCAGUAACUGGUGUGAGAGCACGACCAGUCACACGGGCACUGAGACACGGGCCCGACUCCUACGGGAGGCAGCAGUAAGGAAUAUUGGUCAAUGGACGCAAGUCUGAACCAGCCAUGCCGCGUGAAGGAUGAAGGUCCUCUGGAUUGUAAACUUCUUUUAUAUGGGACGAAA